CAGACACCAGGCCUGCUCAUUUGCAUAAGUAGUCCAAACUCUUCACAGGAAGACCUGAGAUAUUUACUGUGGCAUUUCUAAGUCCAGCGUAGUGCCUGCCGUGGGGGAGAUCCAGCAACUCAAUGGAACCAGUGUACGGAAGGAGCCCAGAGCUGCACGGGGCUUUCUGGGGCUCUAACAGGACCUCCAAAGGCAAGCAUCAGAGCUUCUUUUCAGACACAAUGAGGUCAAGUCUGACGUCGUCAUUGAUGAAGGAUGCGUGAACUGUCAAGGAGAUGCUGAGAACUGGCCCCCUUUACUGCAGACCCUGAGCCCUGGCUGACAUAAAGGACACAGCCCUCUACUCUCCUCACAUCCACAGAGACUCAAUCCCAGGUGGGAGUUGUCCCACAGGGCUCCAAAUGUCCUCCGCUUAUUCAGGACACAGUUAAGCCUCGCAGCUUAGUGAGACCUGCCCUUGAGAAUAACUUUUCAGGUCGAGAAACUGAAGCCUCCGGAAAGCUGAGUGAGUUACCUCGAUCACAUAUCACCUGCAGCCGAGAUGGAGCUGCCUCCAAUUUCUGCCAACAGCUUUCUGCUUGCUGGUUUCUAUCCAUGGGCUAGAGAAGACAGAGCUGGCAUCAGGACCACCCAGAGCUGGCGAAGGAAACUGUUCCUCGGUCACACACCCUCUUGGCUGUAUGUCAGCUUGCAGGGGAGGAGGGGUGCUUUUGAAAAUGUUGUCUAGGUACCGAUUACACAGCCAGUGCCAAAGAGCCAGACAGGGAGGACAUUCUUAAUGUAUGAAGUCAUUGGCUUCCAGAUCAUUCUACUUGCAGAACAAGGUUGCCGUGUUGACGGCCACAGAGCAAACUCCCCCAAAGGCUUCUAGAUGCAGCAGAGAGAACGUUAGUAAAAAAAAAAAAAAUCUACCAAACAUCCUGCGGCUUCACUCAGCAUUUCAGGUUCAAAUAUUUGUUUUGUGCAUCAGGAAACGGCUCAGGGCAUGGAACCAUCUCGCUAAGUGCAAGAUUAUGAGGCCACGUGGCCAGCUAAGUGCCCAGAGUGAGUCAGGAUUUCUCCUGGGCGAGAACCCCUCCUCUAAUCCACACCUCUGAACAAUGGCAUCAGAGUCAGAACCCAUCUGGAGCCUUUCCCCUGGCCAGGCAUCCAACUCUCCCAUUGUCCUCUUUAGUCCCUUAUGCCAAUGUCUGUCAGUCCUUCACCCCUGUUGAAUACUCCCCUAGUCCUCAGUGGCUAAGUUUGCCAUCUUUGACUGACCACCCAACCAAGACUUAAGGCUUCCUUGUUCCCAGUUUCUUGUCAGGUGCUGUCUGCGAACAUAGCCUUGUGCCUGGUGAUGCCAGGUCCUUCCUGUCCCCUCCCUGUUCCUCUGAGGAGAGAAGGGACGUCACAGGAAGAGUCCUGGCAUAGAUUAGGCCAUCAUCCCCCGUGUCCUGGGUGGAUGCCACUUGGACAGGUAGGAUUCCUGAGUCCCAUGUCAUUCCCUCUGGACACACACAGGCUGGUGGCCAGGCCAGAGGGCUGAUGUGGGGGGAGCUUGCCAGGUUUCUCAUCAAAUGGAAUGCAAACACAGCCAGAGGCAGGCAGCCGUGGGCCUGUAGCCAUGCUGCGGUCAGUGCUGGGUCUAGGGUUCACACCGAGCAUCCUCCCAACCUGGCAGGGCCUGUGGCAGCGUCCUUCCGGUGGGAAGGGUUCUUUUGGAAAGGGCCUUCUAGGUGCCAUGGGAGUUGGGGACAUCUAGACUGCUGGUUUAAAUCCCACUUAACUUGCAACUCCUGCAGUUUUCCAUUUAAAAAAAAUUUCCUGUAUCAUGCUGUUGAAAACCAGGUACCCUCAAACACCUACAAAUUGAAAGUCACGGAUGAUAAAUCUUUUACUGACAUGGAUGAAAAUGAAGGAUUACACAGGAGUCAGGAAAAAAAAUAUCUACCACAGUCUUGUCUCUCUGGCUCACCUCCCAUUCAAA